AUGUGGACUUUUCUCUUCCAAGGACAAUGUUGGACUGACGACAUAUUUUCUCAUCACGGUUCGCCCCGCAAAACUCCUCGUGCAUCCUCUGUGAUCAAGAGACAGAGUGUAUGCAACACUUGCUCAGUGGUUGCUCCUUCUCUCGCCAAGUUUGGCACGAGAUCCUCUCCUGGUGUAGGCUCACGACAACCCACCCCUCCGUCGACGUCCCCUUCCUCGACUGGUGGGUGGCCUCCUUCCUCGAUGUGCAAGGGAUUCACCUCUAUCGUCUCCCUCAAUGAAUGGUGGCUUUGGAAACAGUGCAAUGACUGCACUUUUGACGGUCUCUGUUCCUCCAUCACUAGCGUCACUGAAACCAUCCACGACGAGGCAACAAACAAAAAUGCUCCCCGUCCAUCUGUUCGCCGUGCCGGCAACUGCCACUCCGUCAUCGCUCGCCGCCGCAGCCGCCGACCCAUCCGGUCCGGCGGGCCUUCUCCUCUCCGCCAACCGUGUGGGUCCGCUCUAAGUAAUCCCGACUCGCGGCGAUCGUACGGCUGGCUGCCAGCCGCGCCCACCUCCACAUCCACGGCGCGCGGCAGGUGUUCGACGGAAUGCCAGCGACGCUUACAAUUGACAGCACAUAGAUGCCCGUGGCUGGCAUUUGGUCCAGGCAUCCCAAAACAAGUUGCUGUUAUCUGUAAAGGUAUAGUGCAAUAA
rnacentral:rRNA from 1 species